CCUUCCCCUUCGAAAGUGGAGUGAUUUCCAGCCUUAUUUGCCCAUUUAUACAUACACGUAUGAAUUCGUAGGUUCUUACUAUACCCGUCGUCGAAGCAGCAAGAGGCGUGAAAAGAGAGAAAGUAGAGAGAGUUUCGGUGGUGCACUGGUGCUGUGUUAGAGGAGGCUCCGCUGCUUCCACGGUGGCCGGUCGUUCCUUCUGAGAGUAUGAUGGCUUUAACUUCGCAAACUCUUGAGAAUCCACAGAUCUGAGUUAUGGGUGUAGUAUCCCAUGGCAUCCCGGUGAGUCAUUGUGAAUUUCGGUUAGAUCAAUGAAGCUCCGGUGAGACCAGGUUUAGAUCUUGCAGAGUAUUAUGUUUUAUGGAUGGAAGUUACAUUCUCCGAUGAGGUUCCAGCAACAGUUUCUCCGUUGAAAAGCUUUGUUGGUGAAGACUUGGUCUCCGACGAUGGCAAGUGGCAACUCCAACAAGACGGGUUCAGAGCAAGUCGGCUAAGUUCUUCAUUCGAGCUGAUUCAACCCAGUGGUUUGGAAUUAUUAGGAGUGAUACUAUAUUUUCAAGGAGAUAGAUUGUGUGCGAAAAUGUUCCGGUGGUGAUCCUGUUUAAUUUUGUCCGGCGAGAAACAACCAGAACGGACAAGCUUCCGGCAAGGCAUUGGUGCAGGUGGGUUCUGUGUUUUCCAGCGUUAUAUGGUCUCAGACGAACUGUAUGAAGAUUCAAAGAUGAAUAAGAGGUGAGCGAGAAAAAAAAGAUGUAGAUGGGGAAGAUUUGUUUAUAACGAAAGGUCAGUUUGCUGAGAAAAAUGAUGUUACCGGUGUUGGUAAUCCACUUAUCCGUAAUGUCUCUUAAUAAAUAUUUCCUUGAUUCGUCUGUCAUUUGUUUCAUCACUCAUUUGGUUACCAAAUAACAUAGGUGUAUGGAAAUCACAUCCACCAAUCGAAGAGUUACAAUUGGGAUGUAUCAGUUAAGCUUCAUCCACAACUUGAAUGCCUUGUUUCUUUUGUCCUCUACAACAUGCUGCUACUGAUUUGUAUUAUGUCGUAACUUUCUGUAUUGAACUCUGAUACAUUAUAUCUCAUUACAGUAAUGAAGUUUUUAAGAUUCUCCUGCUCAAACCUUUUUGAAGAAUCAAUCGAUACCUGGUCCGAUACGAUAUGUACCGGCUUAAUCCUUCAACUUCAAUUGUCUCUAUGAUUGUUUGAGUAUGACCUUCUUGAAACUUGAUUUAUAAAAGGCUUCACGACUUUAUUCAUUAUAUCAGGCAAAAGGUCCAUAUAAUUAUUAGAGAAGACAGAGAAGGCUUUGAAGGAAAAGCUCAGAAGAUGUUCACAAGCUUCUUCUACAGAUAAAUUUAGCUUCUUACAUGGUAUGUCCAACUUGAUAUUGAGUAAAACGAGAUGGAGAGAACGAUCAGAGUUCAAUGUAUUUAUCUCAUCUUAUAGAAAUUUAUUUUUGGAAGAGCUAACUUGUUCUCAUCUCGGAAUUUUUCAAACGGGUUCUAAUAUUUUUGACAUAUAUGGUUUUCAGGACCUUUUUAAGGUCUGGGAUAAAAUCUAAAAGUGCAUGCAUCUUCUCCCCGAUUUUGUUUCUUUUGGAAGACCUCUAAUUUCACUGUUGAUGAGGUGUUGGUCUAUCUUGUGGGAGAGGCUCGCCAAAUAAUUUAAAAUCGUGUCAUUUUGGAGUUCUAUUAUUUUGUCAGCCAAACUAUGGACCCAACCAUGUACUUUGUCAGUUGCGGAGCAGAUAGACCGUGAGGAACUAGUCUUUAAAAUUUUCAGUGUCUUUAAUUAUAACAAGAACAAUACUUGUUAUAAUUAAAGACAUUGAAAAUUGUAGAGAUCAGUUCCACACAACCUAGUUGCGCAAAACUCUUCGUUGGGUCCAUAGUUUGGUUGACAAAAUGAUGGAGCUCCAAAAUAUCAUGAUUAUAAAUUAUUUUCCUAAUCUCUCCCACCGGAUAGACCAACACCUCAACAGUGAAAUUAGAGGCCUGACAAAAGAAGUGAAAGUGGGUGCGUGCAUGCAUUUUCAGAUUUCAUCCUAAGCUUUAAGAAGGCCUAGAAAAUCAUGCAUGUCAAGCAUAUUAGAACACGCCUGAAAAAUUCUCGGAUGAAAUAAUGGAACAAGUUAGAUCUUCCAAAAAUAAAUUUUUAAAAGAUAAGAUAAAUGCAUGGGAUUAUGAUCAUAGUGUUCGUUCUCCCUGUCUCGUUCUGCUCAAUACCAAGUAGGACGUAAGGAGCUAAAUUUAUUUAUAGACGUGACUUGUGAACGUCUUAGAGCUUUUCUUUCAAAGUCUUCUCUGGCUUCUCUAAUAAUUAUAUGGAUCUUUUGUCUAAUAUAAUGAAUAAAGUUGUAAAACUUUUUGUGAAUAAAGUAGAAGAAGGUCUCACUCAAAGAGUUAGACACAAUUGAAGUUGAAGGAUUAACUUGGUACACAUCGGAUUAGGCAUCGAUUGAUUCUUCAAAAAAAUUUGACCACGAGAAUCUUGAAAACUUCUUUAUUGCAAUGAGAUCUAAUGUGUCAGAGUUCAAUACAGAAAGUCACGGCAUGAUACAAAUCAGUCAUCUACAACAUGUUGCAAAGGACAAAAAGAAUAGGACAAUUAAGUUGUGGGUGAAGCUUAACAGAUACAUUCUAGUUGUAACUCUUCGAUUGGUGGAUGGGAUCGCUAUACACCUACGCUAUUUGGUAACCAAAGGAGUGAUGAAACAAAUGAUGGAUGACUUCAUCAAGGAGAUGAUUAUUGAGAGACUUUGGGUAAGUAGGUUACCAACACCAGUAACAUCAUUUUUCUCCACGUGUCGAUAAAGAAAGUGGAUAGAAUGAUUGAUAUCAUAUGGUAAUGCAAAAUUGUAUAGAUUGGGGUUUGUGCACUUAUAUACAUUAUUUGUCUUUUGUUUUUUUAACUUCUUUAAAGUUAAAAACAAUGUACUACUGCUUCCAAAACCUAAUACUUUUGACAUUUUAUCAGGUUAGUAGCUGAUGUGUUGAAUAGUGACUUUUGGAAUUAGCAUGGAUUUUUGAAGAUGAUAUGGUGUAUUUUUCAUGGUUAUAUUACUUAGCCUCGUGUAAUGGUGGAUAUGCCUCUGUAUGUUAUUUUUUUGUCUGUCAAAAAUUUUAAACUUCGAGACUUUUUCCAUAGAUUACUUAAUUGGUUUGAAAGAUUGUUCUAAUAUAGCUUAAAAUGUGUGGUUUCUAAGCUUAUUAAAGUCAAAGAUAGCUUGAAUAUGACUGUAUUGGUGAGUAGUUGUUUAAUCUUGUGAAAAUACAUAAAAAAUAGUGAUAUUUGAAGAAGAGUGACAAUUAUUGUAUUCCUUUGAAUAAAAUUCAUAGCCAUCUAGAGUUGAAACUGUUGCCACUAAAUUGGCAAUUUUCUUGCUUGUAUAAUACUAAACUAGUUACUGUUAUAUUAUCUAUGAUAUUUCUCAGGUAAAGUCAAGGCAAUGCUGAUGUGGAGCACUUUGAUUGGUUGGUUGUGAAUGCAAUGGGUUUAAAAUUAUCUACAUGAAGACUAGAGGUUGCUUUUAGUACCCCCCCAACUCCCAAGUGUGCCAUAUUUUAACCAAGUGGUCUAGUGACCUGGUAUUUAGGAAGCCUCAUUCACAAAUACUGUUAAUUUGUAUCAAGUUUAUUAAGUACAAAAAACAUGUAAGUUGGGAGUUUUCAAUCCCUCUAGGAUAGGGGUUUAGGGUUUAUGGUAUGUUGUUAUAUCAUAUAUGUAAUUUGAUUAGAUGUUACCAGAUUUAGGGUCUGUUUGUUAA